GGAAACUAUAAUUACCCGCUGUCACUGCCUGCUCGCACACAAACGCAGGAUUCAGAUACGUUACGGCAGAACACAGGAUGAUGAAGAUGUCAGGAGGAGUCUUGAGUUGCUGUGUAGCUCUGCUGCUUGCCCUGACCUCCGUGUCAGCUGUACAAAAGCUGUAUUCAAUCGACGAUUUGAAGUCCAGUCUUUUGCUGCUCCACUGGUUUGCCAACACAGUUGAGAUCAACACUAACGAUGUCUAUCUGAACUUUGACCUAAGCCAUGGAGAUUAUGGCUCACAUUAUUACGGAAACUAUGAGGAGUUGUUGGACCCACUGCCUUGGAGAUACCGGUACUACACUAUUGGAAAUGUCUAUACAGACACGUCCAGGCAAUUUCCAUCUUAUGUUCGCAACGCCCGAGAGGGAAACAGUGCCAGGAUCAUAAUUCGAGUCCAGAACACACUAUGGGGAGCUAUGCGGAGAGUAGACCAGGUGUAUAUCACACAGCAUUAUGACCAAGUUCAUACCUACCUGAUCACUACUAACCUUUUGAGACAGAUCAGAGGGUUUUCAGUGAGUGAUCUCAUAAACCUCUAUGAAAGGAACAUCUGGUAUAACCAACAAAGCUCCAGACUGCAAAGCAACAGCACACGGCAAAGCAGACAAAAUGAUUGCGGUGAUUGUUGUUUUGCAUGCUGUGUCUUACUACUAGUAGUAGUAGUAGUUUUAGUAGUUUCAUUUAUUUCUUCCAAUGCAUAUCACAGGAAAUGAGUGAGUUCCUGGAUAUUCUCUAAACAAAAAAGUGUGCUGGUGGUGCUUUUCAAUGAUGCUGAGAACUGUAAACCCUGCACGACUUAAAAAAGGUCCAGUGUGUAGGCAUCUAGUUGUGCAGUUGCUUCAAUCUUUACAUACUGGACCUUUAAAACUGAGCUAAAUACUUUCAAAGAUCACCCAUUCAAACUGUAUUUCAGUCCUAGUCAGUACCAGAGUAAACCAAUCAGUGAUCAGCACAUCUUCCAACAGAGGAGGAGGUGAUCAGUGAAUUAUGGUUGAGAAAUGAUUGCUUGGACUGAAAACCUGCAGACUUUUGGCACCGUUUAACAAAUCUGCUGUAAAUACUUUCAAACAACAUCUGGAUGGAUUUAUCUGCCUGUAAAAAUGACAAAGAUAUCACAAAAGAUUAAAAACAUGAUGACAGCUUUGCAUUUUAUUAUACCAUGAAGAGGAGUUUAAAUGAUUGCUGAAUGUUAUUUGCUUUGAUUGAUGAAUUUACAGCCUUCAGUGAUAACAAGCUAGCUUUAAAAAGUCUUAUAAAAUUGUAUGCUUUCUUGAGAAUGACGUUUAUUAAAUUGUGUGUCAGUCAGA